GGUGGUGCAUGGUUGUCGUCAGCUCGUGUCGUGAGAUGUUGGGUUAAGUCCCGCAACGAGCGCAACCCUUAAGCUUAGUUGCCAGCAUUCAGUUGGGCACUCUAAGGUGACUGCCGGUGACAAACCGGAGGAAGGUGGGGAUGACGUCAAAUCAUCAUGCCCCUUAUGACCUGGGCUACACACGUGCUACAAUGGACGGUACAAACGGUUGCCAACCCGCGAGGGGGAGCUAAUCCGAUAAAACCGUUCUCAGUUCGGAUUGUAGGCUGCAACUCGCCUACAUGAAGCCGGAAUCGCUAGUAAUCGUAGAUCAGCAUGCUACGGUGAAUACGUUCCCGGGUCUUGUACACAC
rnacentral:rRNA from 1 species